rnacentral:lncRNA from 1 species
UCCCCAAAUGCAAAACGAAAUUGCCCCAAAUGCAAAACGAAAUUCGUCUCCCCCAAAUGGCCAAAUAUCAAUCCCUGCCACAGUGCACAGAAUGACAGAAUUCAGAAACACAAAAUCAAACGAAAUUAUCUGAUCUAAAAAUUUUAAAUUUUAUUCAAGAGAUAUUAAAAUUCAAAACUAAUAUACAUUAAUUUCUUGGCAAUCAAAGAGAAUAAUAAGGCCACUGAGACAUAAAAUACCCAUUUCGAAAGAAAGGAGGACAACAGAAGGGAAAGGACUGAAUUUCAAAAAGAAGAAAUGAAAAUAACAUAUCUAAUAAUUGAAACCUCUUCGUCGAGAUAGAUAGUCUCCAUAUCAACAAAAACGGAAUCGCUUAACUGUCAUGGACUCAUGGUUGUCGGUUCGUGCUGAGGUUUGUCGAGGACGAGACCAGGAAGAUGAGCGGCGCGCCGACGAUGAUAGGACUGUCGAGGUUUUCUCCAGCGAGAGAUGAGAGAUCAAAAGCGGAGGGGAGUUGAAAGACCCUCAGAUCUGAAAUUCUGAU